CACCGCGGUUAUACGAGAGGCCCAAGUUGAUUAAAUCCCGGCGUAAAGCGUGGUUAGAUAGAAAUACAACUAAAGCCGAAUACCUCCAGAACUGUUAUACGUACUCGGGGGACAGAAGACCCUUAACGAAGGUAGCUUUAAUCUUUUUGACCCCACGAGAGCUGUGAAA
rnacentral:rRNA from 1 species